rnacentral:rRNA from 1 species
AACGAACGCUGGCGGCAGGCCUAACACAUGCAAGUCGAGCGAGGACUUCGGUUCUAGCGGCGGACGGGUGAGUAACGCGUGGGAAUGUGCCCUUCUCUACGGCAUAGCCCUGGGAAACUGGGAGUAAUACCGUAUACGCCCUAUUGGGGAAAGAUUUAUCGGAGAAGGAUCAGCCCGCGUUGGAUUAGGUAGUUGGUGGGGUAAUGGCCUACCAAGCCGACGAUCCAUAGCUGGUUUGAGAGGAUGAUCAGCCACACUGGGACUGAGACACGGCCCAGACUCCUACGGGAGGCAGCAGUGGGGAAUCUUAGACAAUGGGGGCAACGCUGAUCUAGCCAUGCCGCGUGAGUGAUGAAGGCCUUAGGGUUGUAAAGCUCUUUCAGCUGGGAAGAUAAUGACGGUACCAGCAGAAGAAGCCCCGGCUAACUCCGUG